rnacentral:rRNA from 1 species
AUUGAACGCUGGCGGCAUGCCUUACACAUGCAAGUCGAACGGCAGCACGGGGGCAACCCUGGUGGCGAGUGGCGAACGGGUGAGUAACGCAUCGGAACGUGCCCAGUCGUGGGGGAUAACGUAGCGAAAGCUACGCUAAUACCGCAUACGAACUCUGGUUGAAAGCGGGGGACUCGCAAGGGCCUCGCGCGAUUGGAGCGGCCGAUGGCAGAUUAGGUAGUUGGUGGGGAAAGGCCUACCAAGCCGACGAUCUGUAGCUGGUCUGAGAGGACGACCAGCCACACUGGGACUGAGACACGGCCCAGACUCCUACGGGAGGCAGCAGUGGGGUAAUUUUGGACAAUGGGCGCAAGCCUGAUCCAGCCAUUCCGCGUGCAGGAUGAAGGCCCUCGGGGUUGUAAACUGUCUUUUGUACGGAACGAAACGGCCUCUUCUAAUACGAGGGGGCUCAUGACGGUACGUAAG